GUGCUCACUUCAUCAGCACACAUACACUCAAAUUGGAAUGAUACAGAGACGAUUAGCAAUGGUCCUGAGCAAGAUGCACACAAAUUCAUGAAGUGAUCAAAUAUAAG
ensembl:snRNA U6 U6 spliceosomal RNA